AAUUUUGUGGAGACCAUUGAACUCCAAAUUGGGCUGAAAAACUAUGAUCCCCAGAAGGACAAGCGUUUCAGUGGCUCUGUUAAGUUGCCCCAUAUUCCUCGCCCCAAGAUGAAGAUUUGUAUGCUUGGAGAUGCCCAACACGUUGAGGAGGUAUCUAGUUGUUCUAUUCUACAAACACUUUUGUGAGAUUUUCAAUUAGAUGCAAUACCUUAUACUGUAGCAAGUUUGGAGAUUCAAUCGUGUCUUCAUUGUAAAAAUACAUAUUUUACAUUAGUUUUCACCCUUGCUGUAUGUUUAUUGAAACAUUGAUUGUGCUGCUUAUCUUAUUAUUUGACAAACCGUUGGUUUCCUUUCUAUUAUUUGGGGGCUAGUUUUUAGAAUUAUUCUCUGUAUUGACCGCUGUUCUUGAAUUACCUUUAAACGACACAUUUUGCAAGUUAGUAACCGAAACUGAAGAGGAAAUUUUGUUAUAUUUGCUCUGAUAGUGCUUUUUGCAAUAGUUGUAAUUCAAUUUUUCUGCGGCGUGGUCUGUUUUGUUAAUGUCUAUUAUUGAAAUCUUUAGGCAGAGAAGAUAGGAUUGGACUACAUGGAUGUUGAAGCCUUGAAGAAGCUCAACAAAAACAAGAAAUUAGUAAAAAAGCUAGCUAAAAAGUAUCAUGCGUUUUUGGCCUCUGAAGCCGUUAUCAAGCAGAUUCCU
rnacentral:lncRNA from 1 species